UACGUAGGUGGCGAGCGUUGUCCGGAAUUACUGGGUGUAAAGGGCGUGUAGGCGGGAAUGUAAGUCAGAUGUGAAAUCCCAGGGCUUAACCCUGGAGCUGCAUCUGAAACUAUGUUUCUUGAGUGCCGGAGAGGAUAGCGGAAUUCCUAGUGUAGCGGUGAAAUGCGUAGAUAUUAGGAGGAACACCAGUGGCGAAGGCGGCUAUCUGGACGGUAACUGACGCUGAGGCGCGAAAGCGUGGGGAGCAAACAGGAUUAGAUACC
rnacentral:rRNA from 1 species